rnacentral:rRNA from 1 species
CACACCGCCGUCACACCAGUGGGUAGUUGGUUGCACCAGAAGCAGGUUGCUUAACCGCAAGGGGGAGCGCUACCACGGUGUGGUCAAUGACUGGGGUG